rnacentral:tRNA from 1 species
GGUAUAGCUCAGUGGUAAAGCUCUUGCCUAGCAAGCAUGAGGCACUGGGUUCAACCCUCUGCAUAACA